rnacentral:misc_RNA from 1 species
GAUGAAGAACGUAGCGAAAUGCGAUACGUAAUGUGAAUUGCAGAAUUCAGUGAAUCAUCGAGUCUUUGAACGCACAUUGCGCCCCCUGGUAUUCCGGGGGGCAUGCCUGUCCGAGCGUCAUUGCUGCCCUCAAGCACGGCUUGUGUGUUGGGCCUCCGUCCUCCUCCCGGGGGACGGGCCCGAAAGGCAGCGGCGGCACCGCGUCCGGUCCUCGAGCGUAUGGGGCUUCGUCACCCGCUCCGUAGGCCCGGCCGGCGCUUGCCGACGACCAUCAAUCUCUUUCUCCAGGUUGACCUCGGAUCAGGUAGGGAUACCCGCUGAACUUAAGCAUAUCAAUAAGCGGAGGA